rnacentral:rRNA from 1 species
GACGGGGGGGGGCAAGUGUUCUUCGGAAUCACUGGGCGUAAAGCGCACGUAGGCGGAUUCUUAAGUCAGGGGUGAAAUCCUGGAGCUCAACUCCAGAACUGCCUUUGAUACUGAGGGUCUUGAGUUCGGGAGAGGUGAGUGGAACUGCGAGUGUAGAGGUGAAAUUCGUAGAUAUUCGCAAGAACACCAGUGGCGAAGGCGGCUCACUGGCCCGAUACUGACGCUGAGGUGCGAAAGCGUGGGGAGCAAACAGGG